rnacentral:rRNA from 1 species
UACGUAGGGGGCGAGCGUUGUCCGGAAUGAUUGGGCGUAAAGGGCGCGUAGGCGGCCUGGUAAGUUAGGAGUGAAAGUCCUGUUUUCAAGAUGGGAAUUGCUUUUAAUACUGUCGGGCUGGAGUACAGGAGAGGAAAGCGGAAUUACCGGUGUAGCGGUGAAAUGCGUAGAGAUCGGUAGGAACACCAGUGGCGAAGGCGGCUUUCUGGACUGAAACUGACGCUGAGGCGCGAAAGCGUGGGGAG